rnacentral:rRNA from 1 species
CUACCAUGGCUUUCACGGGUAACGGAGGAUUAGGGUUCGAUUCCGGAGAGGGAGCCUGAGAAACGGCUACCACAUCUAAGGAAGGCAGCAGGCGCGUAAAUUACCCAAUUCUGACUCAGAGAGGUAGUGACAAGAAAUAACGGGUCGGGACUUUGUCCCGGGACUGCAAUGAACCGAAUCUACACACCUUAGCCAGCAACAAUUGGAGGGCAAGUCUGGUGCCAGCAGCCGCGGUAAUUCCAGCUCCAAUAGCGUAUAUUAAAGUUGUUGCAGUUAAAAAGCUCGUAGUUGGAUUUCUGGCAGGGUGCCUGCGCCCUAAGCUUAGUGUGCACAGAUGCCUUUCCAUCCUUCUGUUAACCUUGGAGGCUUUUACGGCUUCCCUGGGGCUCAGAUAUUUUACCUUGAGAAAAUUAGAGUGUUUCAGGCAGGCUAGCGCCGGAAUACAUUAGCAUGGAAUAAUAGAAUAGGACAUUUGCCUCUUCUGUUGGUCAUGGGGUUUAUGUAAUGAUUAAUAGGGAUAGUUGGGGGCAUUAGUACUUCACUGUCAGAGGUGAAAUUCUCGGAUUUGUGAAAGACUAACUUAUGCGAAAGCAUUUGCCAAGGAUGUUUUCAUUAAUCAA